ensembl:lncRNA
GAGGGAGCUCUGACAAGUUAGAGAACUUUAGAAUUUGAACUACCAGAAACAAAUCUGUUUAUACAAGUGUUGUGAACCACAUUCCCUUUUACUCCAGGCCCACAGUCUUACCACACAGCAAGCACAUGGUAGGCAGAAGAGAAUAUAUUUGAAGGACGAGGUAUAUUGAAAGUCAAAUUGUUUAUUGAGCAAACCAUGCAAGAGUAGCAGGAACACCAGGCUAAAUCAAAAACAUAACCGUAGAACCUAAAAGUGUGUCAGACAAAUCAGAUGUCAAUUUUAGUCGUAUGGUUAUAAAAACAAUUCAUACCCUUGUAGUGUAUCAUCCACCCCUGUAAACAAUUUGCAUGACGUUGCACAAGUGAAGGAGAACCUCAUUUCAACAAGUGCAUUAGUUGACAUAUUUCCCCUCAGUUACCUUUGCCUUUUCUUCAAAAGGAGGCACAGUAACAGGGGACAGACGAUUAAGGAGUUGGGCAAACCAAAUUAUGAUCUCCCUAUCUAGCUUGUUGAGGGGUCGGGCCGUCUGUUCAAGGCUUGUCGCUUCUGCUGAGGCGCGGGGGCCGGACGCUCCUGCUGAGGCGCGGGGGCCGGUGGCUUCUGCUGAGGCGCGGGGGCCGGUGGCUUCUGCUGAGGCGCGGGGGCCGGUGGCUUCUGCUGAGGCGCGGGGGCCGGUGGCUUCUGCUGAGGCGCGGGUCGCUUCUGCUGAGGCGCGGGGGCCGGUCGCUUCUGCUGAGGCGCGGGGGCCGGUCGCUUCUGCUGAGGCGCGGGGGCCAGAUGCUUCUGCUGAGGCGCAGGUCGCUUCUGCUGAGGCGCGGGGGCCGGUCGCUCCUGCUGAGGCGCGGGGGCCGGUCGCUCCUGCUGAGGCAUUUCGACCCGACGUCACAUUUGCCGAGCUAUUGUGGCCAGUAGCUUUAGCAUUUGGAACAGACACCACACUCGCUUGGGCUCCAGUGGAGGCAGGAUGCCCAUAAGCACCU